CCUACGGGAGGCAGCAGUGGGGAAUAUUGGGCAAUGGGCGCAAGCCUGACCCAGCAACGCCGCGUGAAGGAAGAAGGCUUUCGGGUUGUAAACUUCUUUUCUCAGGGACGAAGAAAGUGACGGUACCUGAGGAAUAAGCCACGGCUAACUACGUGCCAGCAGCCGCGGUAAUACGUAGGUGGCAAGCGUUAUCCGGAUUUACUGGGUGUAAAGGGCGUGUAGGCGGGAAAGCAAGUCAGAUGUGAAAACCAUGGGCUCAACCUGUGGCCUGCAUUUGAAACUGUUUUUCUUGAGUGCUGGAGAGGCAGACGGAAGUCCUCGUGUAGCGGUGAAAUGCGUAGAUAUGAGGAGGAACACCAGUGGCGAAGGCGGUCUGCUGGACAGCAACUGACGCUGAGGCGCGAAAGCGUGGGGAGCAAACAGGAUUAGAUACCCUAGUAGUC
rnacentral:rRNA from 1 species